GAAAUAUCUCACGGCCUUUACAGAAAACAUCUAGAGGUAGGCAUUCCUUUAUGCCUGAAGUGCCACUUCUGACCUUUUUGAGUGUCUGGACGAGGAAAUGACAGUGACCAAGAUUAGCUGGCCUCCUGAGUUGGCAUUGAUGCUUUUCCCUCUCUGAGGAACAACUCUCUUGACUUAUCAAUGGGUUAUAUUAAAAUCC
rnacentral:lncRNA from 11 species